CACAGGCCGAAACAAAUUUCGGUCAGACACAAGUCUAUCUUCAGUCGUUCGAAGAUCUCCAUAUGUAAAUGGAUGGAAUUCAUGUACAGAUUUUCUCAGGGUCUACGCCUGCGGCAGAUAGACAUGAUGGAGGACACCAUUGCAGGCAGUUCAACUACUUUAAGUAAAAUGGCAAAAAGAAUAAGGAACGUCUGUGUCACUGCAGUAGAAAGAAUGAGAAGGCGUACAGGCCAGCAGAUUGGUGGAAGAAGGGAGUUUGUGGUAAUUGAUGAGAGCCAUUUUCGGCACAAAAGAAAGUAUGGGAGAGGAAGAAUGGCUGGUGGCUGGAAAAGAAAGAAGUGGGUCUUUGGGAUGCUGGGUGUGAAGCACGCUCAACAACAAACCUCUACAAGGCCAAUUCUACGACUGGUA